UGGGGAAUAUUGCACAAUGGGCGCAAGCCUGAUGCAGCCAUGCCGCGUGUAUGAAGAAGGCCUUCGGGUUGUAAAGUACUUUCAGUCGGGAGGAAGGUGUCAAGGUUAAUAACUUUGGCAAUUGACGUUACCGACAGAAGAAGCACCGGCUAACUCCGUGCCAGCAGCCGCGGUAAUACGGAGGGUGCAAGCGUUAAUCGGAAUUACUGGGCGUAAAGCGCACGCAGGCGGUUGAUUGAGUCAGAUGUGAAAUCCCCGGGCUUAACCCGGGAAUUGCAUCUGAUACUGGUCAGCUAGAGUCUUGUAGAGGGGGGUAGAAUUACAUGUGUAGCGGUGAAAUGCGUAGAGAUGUGGAGGAAUACCAGUGGCGAAGGCGGCCCCCUGGACAAAGACUGACGCUCAGGUGCGAAAGCGUGGGGAGCAAACAGG
rnacentral:rRNA from 1 species